rnacentral:lncRNA from 1 species
AGCUGCAUGCAAAUAUUGCAUACGCCCCAAGACGACAAUAGAAAGAGUGGUGCGCAUCAAUAAUGUUCGAGCGACAAGCUAAAGUUGCUUGGUCGUAGCCUCGGUGAGACCGUAUUGCGUGUGAACAUGGGGUACAGGACACUUCAACUUACAUCCCGAUGAACUUCUUUAAAGAAUAGGUAGUGAGCCCGUAGAAGUAUAAGCAGCAUAAGCAGUAGAUAAUAGUGUAACACGUGACCAGUGUGCUAACACUUCAACCAACACCAUAAAGCAUAAAAAGGUGUCCGCAAGUUGGUUGUAUCUAUCUACAUAGUUUGAUGUAAGAAUAGAAUGUUCAAUUUUGUGUUAUUUAGCGUAGGAGGGUCUCACUCCUUAUUUGGCUAAAGAAGGGACAGAUUGCUGUUUUUCGCAGAUUUGGCAUGUGCGAAGCUGUGAAGCUUGCAGGUGGCGUGUAGGCUUUUGCCUUAGCCAAAAGUGACGUGUGUAUGAUCAAAACCAAGUCCUUUCGGUCGUUCUAAGGUCGUAAACUCCAUGACUAGUUAGCAAAAGCUCCCUGACAUGAACAUAAACUAACUCAGAGGACCUAGAGGAUCCGAUCAUGAUGAUAAUUUUCCAACUUUGAUAAGUCUUCAACGUCUUUUGCAAGACGGCAAUUGGUUUAAUAGCGUAGGGGGAUCCAAAAUCAAAAGCUUUCGGUAACUCCAAGUCAGUAUGACCAGGCAUGUCCGUGGAGGGUCGGUAGUGCGAGGCACACUUAAAACCACUAUCUCCUUAAUUUCGGACAAUUCUAAGACAUCACACUGAGCUUGGAUGAGCCUAGUUGAACAAUUGAUGAUGAAAAAUCCGUUAUAGGGUAGAAGACUUAACCGGAAACACGUGGGCGAUCCUCCUGAAGAAUGCAGUGCCAUGAGUCACCUUCAAAGGAAGGGACCAAAAUCGGCACAAUAUGCCAUGUUUCUAAGGACGAUGUAAGUGUACAUCUUGAUUGUAAAUCAAUAUGAACCAUAAAAGGAGAAUAGUUUCA